UAUAUUAUAUAUAUGAAAAUCAUGAUCAAAUGUUACACAAAGAUUCGGCAAAAAAAUAACAGCAAAAUUGUCCUAGAGUCCUAUCAGGAUAAUAGCUUUUCCAACAGAUGCAUCAAAUGGAAAAGGAGAACAUAGGACACAUUGCCUUUCAAAGGAAUAAAACAAAAGGAUACAAAAAAGAAGGUAAAACUCUAUUCGAGAAUUCAGACACCCAUACAAAAGUUUAAACACCAAGGUUAUCAGGACACAAGUGUGACCACAAAUUGCUACCAAUAUCUAAAAGAUGUUACGGAAUUUUACAACUCAUCUAACUGUUUACUCAACAUGGAAGGAUCUGGGUAACAUGGUUAAAGAAUGUUAACUUAAUAAGCUACUUGAUCUCAAUUAUACCCACUGGAAAAUAACAUACCAUGCUUAACUUUGUGAGGAAAAUUAACGACAAAAGAAAAAGAAGGACCAGAUCAGAAAUUGUACUAUUGUCAAGCUUCCUCAGAGAUAGGUAUUAAGGAGAAUGUUACAAAGGUUUAUCAUGUAAAAUCUUUGAGGAAAACAGACCAAAAUUACUUGAUCCAUCAUGUAAAAUCUUUGAGGAAAACAGACCAAAAUUACUUGAUCCCUAAUGACAUCAUCUUUUCCCUACCAGCUCCAUUACCUCAUUAGUUUUUUUUCUCAUAGCAAACACAAGCAUUUGUCAAUAUGUUGUCCAACCAAAGGAGUCUUAGAAAUUAUACCACAAGACAUAAAUUGUUUUGAUCUCUUUAAAAUCGAAAUUCCUUCAUUAAAAAAGGAACACUUGCAAGCAAAUGAUCCUCAGAUAGCUUAAGGAAGAGACCCUUCCAUAGCAUUUUAAUAGGACAACAAAAAUUAAAGGUGAAAUUGAUCUCAUAAAUCAUCAAGAAGGCCCCAAAUCCAUCAGUAUUUGGAGACCUCCUUCAACGUUAAGCCUUAAAAGUCAGCUCCUCCAAACAUUACUUAGUCUAUGUGUCCAACAAGAUUUGAGGGUGGGUGUGGGAUAUGCACCACAAUUUGUCAACUCACCUAGCAUGUGUUGACAACAGCUAUGUCUGAGACACACUGGUGGCUUGGAUUUUUGGAUUUAUAAAUAGUUACAUAUUUUUAAUUGCAAUAUAUGAACACACACCCACACGCACAAUAGGUACAUCUGAAAAGCUUAAACAUUGUAUGAGAUAUACAAAUAAAAUAAUUUGUACUUCAAAAGAACUUAUUUAUACUUGCAUCUCAAUUUAAUACUGCAACCUAUAUGUACAUUAUUAGUCAUUCCUAAGCACAUGCACUCCAACAUUGAUCCAUAUUCCUGAAUCCUAAGAUUAGGUAAAAAAGAAUCCAACCUUUAGACGCACCUCGCUACUUAUGUCCAUGAUUCCAUGUAACGGAGUCUGGAAAAUAAUGGGGAGAGUUGUUUUCCUGAGGAAUAACUACAGUUUGUAUAGAAUAUGAUGGGUCACCAUAUUAUAUAAGAUAUGCUGAUAUUCCUCAAGAAGACAGAUCUGGUUCUUAAGUGAAGAAGGGUAUAGGGGCGAACUCAUUAUCCCGAGGCUACAGUUGGUCCUAUAGCUUGGCUCCAGACGGAUUUUUUGGUCAUCGAUAAGUAUGUCUGGUGGGGCAAUAGAAGUUAGCUAUUGGUAAGAACAAAUGAAUAUCACGUGCUUUCUCACUUUCUAGUUGGGUGAAUAAACAAUUAGUGAAGGUUUGCACCUAGAUACAAUAAACAAAAAUUGGGUAAAGUUUCAUUGUUUGAGGAUUAUGUCUUGUGUAUACAUCAUUAAAUGAGAUAACUUUAUUUAUCAAAAUUUGAAUGACACUUGUUCAGGACUGAGGCAUAGUUGUUAUUAUUGUAGUAGUGAAGUCUAUAUGAUAGCUAAUCUAAUAACAGACUGCCUUGAUCAAUGUGCUAUUCAUCAACUGAUAAAAUCAACUUGACCAACCUAACAAAAUACUUGCACUCCUCCUCCCUCCCUCCUGUUCAAAAGAAAAAAUGCAAGUGUUCAAUUCCCAAAACACAUUAGGAAGGUUUGGAAGACAAGAUUUAAGAUAAAGGCUAGUAAGUAGCCAAGAGUUGUCGCACAUAGAGUGCGAGAGGUAGAGGUCAUUUAGUAGUCAAUAGUCAUGCAGUCUCUUAUUCUUCGGUGUGUAUAACUACGUGUUGCCCAUUUGCUUUGUAUCUUGUUAUUUUGUUGUCAUAUUUUUCUUCCAAUUCUGCUUUGGUAACAUUUCUUUUAAGCUGAGUAUCUAACGGAAAUCUCCAACUCACAAAGGUAGGGGUAAGGUAUGCGUACAACCUACCACAAACCAUUAAACCCCACUUGUGGAUUUAUACUAGAUAUGUGUGGACAAACUCAACGGGGCUGGAGACAUUGGGAUUUUGUUUGACUUGCAUAUCUUACACAUAAUUCUAGAAGGGAAUAAAAUGCACUACAUAACAAAGUUAGAAUAAAUUUGGCUCGACCGGAGAUGGUUUAAUCUUUAAACAUAAAUAUCAGCUCUUAUCAACAAAAGUUACACUAGACAUUUUGAGAUAUCACAAUAGAAAAUAAACCACAUGGAACUCAAAAGCAACAGCAACAAUACAGCCUUGUUGGAAGCAGAGAGCAAGGGGAUAUUCUACCUUAUCUACAAUCGAACUCCUUCCUGAUUCAAAGUGCAGCAAGAAAGAAGAAAAAUUGUUACUCACCUUGAUCAAUUGCAAACUCCUCAAAUUCGUCAUCGUCUUCGAAUAGAUCCAUCUUCACCUCUUUAGCCGCUGGCUUUGGUUGUUCAGUCG